rnacentral:rRNA from 1 species
GACGUAGGGCGCGAGCGUUGUCCGGAUUUAUUGGGCGUAAAGAGCUCGUAGGCGGUCUGUCGCGUCUGCUGUGAAAACUCAGGGCUUAACCCUGAGCUUGCAGUGGGUACGGGCAGACUAGAGUGCGGUAGGGGAGACUGGAAUUCCUGGUGUAGCGGUGAAAUGCGCAGAUAUCAGGAGGAACACCGGUGGCGAAGGCGGGUCUCUGGGCCGUAACUGACGCUGGAGGAGCGAAAGCAUGGGGGAGCGAACAGG